rnacentral:misc_RNA from 1 species
AGCAGCCGCGGUAAUUCCAGCUCCAAUAGCGUAUAUUAAAGUUGUUGCAGUUAAAAGCUCGUAGUUGAAUUUCGGGGUUAGCAGGUCGGUCGUGCCAUCGGUAUGAACUGGUCUCGCUGAUCCCUCCCUCUUGACGAACUGUGAUGCCAUUAAUUUGGUGUCGCAGGGAAUCAGGACUGUUACUUUGAAAAAUUGAGUGUUUAAAGCAGGCUCACGCUUGAAUACAUUAGCAUGGAAUAAUGAAAUAGGACGUUUGAUCCUAUUUUGUUGGUUUCUAGGAUUGACGUAAUGAUUAAUAGGGAUAGUUGGGGGCAUUAGUAUUCAAUUGUCAGAGGUGAAAUUCUUGGAUUUAUUGAAGACUAACUACUGCGAAAGCAUUUGCCAAGGAUGUUUUCAUUAAUCAAGAACGAAAGUUAGGGGAUCGAAGACGAUCAGAUACCGUCGUAGUCUUAACCAUAAACUAUGCCGACUAGGGAUCGGAUGAUGUUAAUUUUUAAUGACUCAUUC